GGCAUAGGGAAGUUCCCAGGCUAGGGGUCAAAAGGGAGCUACAACAGCAAGCCUAAGCCACAGCCAUGGAAAUGGGGGAUCUAAGCCUCAUCUGCCACCUGCACUGCAGCUCAUGGCAACACUGAUCCUUAGCCCACUGAGCAAGGCCAGGGAUGGAACUCGCAUCCUCACAGAGACUACAUCAGGUCCUUAACCCACAGAGCCACAAUGUGAACUCCCCAAGGGGCUUUUCAUUUAUUUAUUUUUUAUUGUCUUUUUUUUUUUUUUUUUUUUGCCUUUUCUAGGGCCACUUCUGUAGCAUAUGGAAGUUCCCAGGCUAGGGGUCGAAUCGGAGCUACAGAUGCUGGCCUACGCCAGAGCCACAGAAAUGUGGGAUCCGAGCCGUGUCUGCAACCUACACUACAGCUCAUGGCAAUGCCGGAUCCUUAACCCACUGAGCAAGGCCAGGGAUUGAACCCACAAGCUCAUGGUUCCUAGUCGGAUUCAUUAAUCACUGAGCCACGACAGGGACUCCCCCCACCAAGGGGCUUUUUAACCUAAGGUAACCUGAUGUUGUAUAGUCAAAAGUUAAAGCUAUCUGAAGGCCAAGUGGAAGCCAGGGAACAAGAGGAGCAAAGAAUGUCACGUCUGAAGGGUGAGACAGACCCCUAGAUUGGAGGAGGAGCCACAAAACCAUGGCCAUUGGAGGACCCAGGAGAUGGAGAACAGAGUGGAAUGUGUCUGGGAAUUCAGAUGAACCAGACACUUGGGCAGGAGUGAGGAGGGCAAUUUCCAAGAACUAGGCAAAAACAGACCAGUCUUAGGAUCAAAGGAACACCUGGAAAUACCAGGGACUUGAAAUCUAACAAACCUAGUUUCAAACCCCAGCUCCAUCACUACUUGACCUUGGAAAUGUUACUUAACCCUCAGGUUCUCAUCAGUAAAUUAGGGAUUAUUCUACCCACUCAGUGGAUUGUUGUAGGGAAUAAAAGGAGGAAUAUGUGGAGUUCCCACUGUGGCGCAAUGGGAUCAGCAGGUCUCUGCAGAGCCAGGAUGAAGGUUCAAUCCCAGGCCACGCAGUGAGUUAAAGGAUCUGGCAUUGCUGCAGCUGCAGCAUAGGUUGCAACUGCGGCUCAGAUCUGAUCCCUGGUGCAGGAAUUCCAUACACUGCCAAGUGGCCAAAGAAGAAAAAAAAAAAAGGAGGAAUACAUGUAAUACACUUAGCUUAAUGUUUCACACAUAGCAAAUAUUCAUAAAUACAAGAAGUUCUCUCCCUUGUUUUGUUUCUUAUUCCUCUCCCUCUCUUUCAUCCACACCCCGAUCUUGAUUCAUUUUUACAAACUGGGUCUGGGUCCCCAUCUUAGACAAAUAUGAUUUUAGGGAGAGCUAAUAACAAUUUUUGAUUAUCUUUAAUUAGUUUAAAACUCUGGGAUGUCAUCUUUGUGCCUACAAUACCAUGUAACUCUGAUAAUAACCUGUUCCCAUUCCUGACAGACUGAGAGAAUAUUCUAUUUUUAUUAAGAAAUAUUCUAUUUUUUCUUUUGACUGAAAUGAAACAUUCUUUAUCCAAAAAGGUACGAAGGGUAAAGUGGAAAAUAAACUAUCUUGACCUGCAAAGAAAAGAAUGCCCUCAGUUAUCAGAAACAAACACAGUGAUCCCUCAAAACUUAGCACUGAAUUCUGAAGAACGGGGUUAAAAUUCGUGUAAAUUAUCUAACCAAAUAAACACAGCUCAUAAUAUAAAUUCCAAAACUGCAUCAAAAGAAAAUCUAAGGACCCAGGCAAAUGCUUUAUUUUUACUGCCACUCUGUGCCUUAAGUAUUGCUUGAAAUAAAAAGAAUGUCAUAUAAGAAAGCUUUGAUUUCAUACAGUGAUUUCAGAAGCAGUUGUUUUUGUCAUACCAGGAUUUGACCUUUAAGACAAGGAAAUUAUAUGUAUAGAAGUAGUUGUCCAACUUUCUACCCAAAGAUAUGUUUAUUUAGAUGGAAUUUUCUGAGGAAGAUCUAUAUACAGAACAAAAAGUAGCAAAAGUGGGCUAGAAUCCAUCUUCUCCAAAAACAUAUAUUCUCGCUCUCAUUUCUUUUUUUUUUUCCUUUUUAGGGCCACACCUACAGCAUAUGCAAGUUGCCAGGCUAAGGCUGCCGCCCUACGACACAACCACAGCAAC
rnacentral:lncRNA from 1 species